GUUGGGGGCUCGAAGACGAUCAGAUACCGUCCUAGUCUCAAC
rnacentral:rRNA from 16 species